rnacentral:rRNA from 1 species
AUUGAACGCUGGCGGCAGGCCUAACACAUGCAAGUCGAGCGAGCGGCGGACGGGUGUGUAAUGUAUGGGGACUGCCCGAUAGAGGGGGAUAACUACUGGAAACGGUAGCUAAUACCGCAUCCUAUCGGUUAACCCAUAUGGGAUUAGCUAUUAGGUGAGGUAAUGGCUCACCAGGGCGACGAUCCCUAGCUGGUCUGAGAGGAUGAUCAGCAACACUGGGACUGAGAAAGGGCCAAGACUCCUACGGAGGCAGAAGUGGGAAAAAUUGCACAAUGGGGGCAAGCCGGAUGAAGCAAUGCCGCGGGUAUGAAGAGGGCCCUAGGGUGGUAAAGUACUUUUGGCAGAGAAGCGGUAUCUGCAGAAUAAGCACCGGCUAACUACGUGCCAGCAGCCGCGGUAAUUC